UAUAUGUCAGUUCCCAUGCUUCCCUUCCUGUGAGUCAACCAGGGAUGCCAAGCUGAUGAUGGAGACCAAGGGAGUGACCAGCAAUGGGGAAAAUCAGUAUCGUGCACCUUCUGAGAUGAUGCACAGAGAACGAUGCAACGUCAUUUUUGUGGAAUCCUUGCCCCAAAUGUACAACUUCCAUAUAAUUAUAAGGAAAUAUCACACAAAUACAAAGGGAGAGUUAGUCUACAAAAUGAUUGGUCUCUAUUCUUCAAAUUAUCAUCAUGAAAGACAAGAAAAGAUUGAAGAACUAACCUGGAUCGAAGGAGAUGAAAACUAUGACAAAAUGCAGCCAGUCAUCCUGACUUGCAUCUUGGGCUAGAGAAAAAAUGAGGCUGAAGCACCUCUAAAACACCUCUAAAACACCACCGCUCCAAACGGUAUUUAAAGUUUUAAGGGAGACACCACAACAUCUGUUGGACAUUGGGCAAAAAUCAACCUGCAAAUGGAAAGGAGAGUGGCAUCCAAUCUGAUUCCAAGGUUUGAAAAAUUGAUUCAGUGACCAAUAGGCACAUCCCUUUGGAGGAGUCUGACAUAAUCAGGACCAAUCAAACUGUUCCUGGAUCCCCUGGUGUGUGCAACCAAUCCAAAAAUGGGCAGAAGACCUAAACAAGAAAUUCUCCAAGGAAGAGAUACAAAUGGCCAAUAGGCACAUGAAAAAAUGCUCAAUAUUGCUAAUU